rnacentral:rRNA from 1 species
UGGGGAAUAUUGGACAAUGGGCGCAAGCCUGAUCCAGCCAUGCCGCGUGAGUGAUGAAGGCCCUAGGGUUGUAAAGCUCUUUCACCGGUGAAGAUAAUGACGGUAACCGGAGAAGAAGCCCCGGCUAACUUCGUGCCAGCAGCCGCGGUAAUACGAAGGGGGCUAGCGUUGUUCGGAUUUACUGGGCGUAAAGCGCACGUAGGCGGACUAUUAAGUCAGGGGUGAAAUCCCGGGGCUCAACCCCGGAACUGCCUUUGAUACUGGUAGUCUUGAGUUCGAGGGAGGUGAGUGGAAUUCCGGGUGUAGAGGUGAAAUUCGUAGAUAUUCGGAGGAACACCAGUGGCGAAGGCGGCUCACUGGCUCGAUACUGACGCUGAGGUGCGAAAGCGUGGGGAGCAAACAGG